rnacentral:rRNA from 1 species
GGCACACUGGCACUGAAACACGGGCCAGACUCCUACGGGAGGCAGCAGUGGGGAAUCUUGCACAAUGGGGGAAACCCUGAUGCAGCGACGCCGCGUGAGCGAUGAAGCCCUUCGGGGUGUAAAGCUCUUUCGGCAGGAACGAUAAUGACGGUACCUGCAGAAGAAGCUGCGGCUAACUACGUGCCAGCAGCCGCGGUAAUACGUAGGCAGCGAGCGUUGUUCGGAAUUACUGGGCGUAAAGAGUGUGUAGGUGGUGUCGUAAGUUUGGUGUGAAAUCUCCCGGCUUAACUGGGAGGGUGCGCCGAAGACUGCGAUGCUGGAGUAUGGAGAGGAAAGCGGAAUUCCUGGUGUAGCGGUGAAAUGCGUAGAUAUCAGGAGGAACACCUGCGGUGUAGACGGCUUUCUGGACCAUUACUGACACUGAGACACGAAAGCGUGGGUAGCAAACAGGAUUAGAUACCCUGGUAGUCCACGCCCUAAACGAUGCAUACUUGGUGUGAGCCAUUCAGUUGGUUCGUGCCGGAGCUAACGCGUUAAGUAUGCCGCCUGGGGAGUACGGUCGCAAGGCUGAAACUCAAAGGGAUUGACGGGGGCCCGCACAAGCGGUGGAGCAUGUGGUUCAAUUCGACGCAACGCGAAGAACCUUACCUGGGCUCGAACGGCAUUUCAACGUUCAUAGAAAUAUGGAUAUCCCGCAAGGGAGUAUUGUCGAGGUGCUGCAUGGCUGUCGUCAGCUCGUGUCGUGAGAUGUUGGGUUAAGUCCCGCAACGAGCGCAACCCUUGCCCUGUUUUGCCAUCAUUAAGUUGGGAACUAUCAGGGGACCGCCAGCGAUAAGUUGGAGGAAGGUGGGGAUGACGUCAAGUCAUCAUGGCCUUUAUGUCCAGGGCUACACACGUGCUACAAUGGACGGUACAAAGCGCUGCGAAGCCGCGAGGUGGAGCUAAUCGCAAAAAACCGUUCUCAGUUCGGAUUGCAGGCUGCAACUCGCCUGCAUGAAGCUGGAAUCGCUAGUAAUGGCAGAUCAGCAUGCUGCCGUGAAUACGUUCCCGGGCCUUGUACACACCGCCCGUCACAUCACGAAAGUGGGUUGUACUAGAAGUCUGUGCGCUAACCAGCAAUGGAGGCCACGGCCCAAGGUAUGACUCAUGAUUGGGGUGAAGUCGUAACAAGGUAGCCGUAGGAUCCUGCGGCUG